ACAGCUCAGUCGGUGGAGCAUGAGACUCUCAAUCCCAGGCUUGUGGGUUCAAGGCCCGCCUGGGGCA